rnacentral:rRNA from 1 species
GAUGAACGCUGGCGGCGUGCCUAAUACAUGCAAGUCGAGCGAACAGACGAGGAGCUUGCUCCUCUGACGUUAGCGGCGGACGGGUGAGUAACACGUGGAUAACCUACCUAUAAGACUGGGAUAACUUCGGGAAACCGGAGCUAAUACCGGAUAAUAUAUUGCACCGCAUGGUUCAAUAGUGAAAGACGGUUUUGCUGUCACUUAUAGAUGGAUCCGCGCCGCAUUAGCUAGUUGGUAAGGUAACGGCUUACCAAGGCAACGAUGCGUAGCCGACCUGAGAGGGUGAUCGGCCACACUGGAACUGAGACACGGUCCAGACUCCUACGGGAGGCAGCAGUAGGGAAUCUUCCGCAAUGGGCGAAAGCCUGACGGAGCAACGCCGCGUGAGUGAUGAAGGUCUUCGGAUCGUAAUACUCUGUUAUUAGGGAAGAACAAAUGUGUAAGUAACUAUGCACGUCUUGACGGUACCUAAUCAGAAAGCCACGGCUAACUACGUG